rnacentral:rRNA from 1 species
GCCCGCCGGCGACCGGCGCACGGGUGAGUAACGCGUAUGCAAGUUACCUAUCAGAGGGGGAUAACCCGGCGAAAGUCGGACUAAUACCGCAUGAAGCAGGGGCCCCGCAUGGGGAUAUUUGCUAAAGAUUCAUCGCUGAUAGAUAGGCAUGCGUUCCAUUAGGCAGUUGGCGGGGUAACGGCCCACCAAACCGACGAUGGAUAGGGGUUCUGAGAGGAAGGUCCCCCACAUUGGUACUGAGACACGGACCAAACUCCUACGGGAGGCAGCAGUGAGGAAUAUUGGUCAAUGGGCGUAAGCCUGAACCAGCCAAGUCGCGUGAGGGAUGAAGGUUCUAUGGAUCGUAAACCUCUUUUAUAAGGGAAUAAAGUGCGGGACGUGUCCCGUUUUGUAUGUACCUUAUGAAUAAGGAUCGGCUAACUCCGUGCCAGCAGCCGCGGUAAUACGGAGGAUCCGAGCGUUAUCCGGAUUUAUUGGGUUUAAAGGGUGCGUAGGCGGCCUUUUAAGUCAGCGGUGAAAGUCUGUGGCUCAACCAUAGAAUUGCCGUUGAAACUGGGGGGCUUGAGUAUGUUUGAGGCAGGCGGAAUGCGUGGUGUAGCGGUGAAAUGCUUAGAUAUCACGCAGAACCCCGAUUGCGAAGGCAGCCUGCCAAGCCAUGACUGACGCUGAUGCACGAAAGCGUGGGGAUCAAACAGGAUUAGAUACCCUGGUAGUCCACGCAGUAAACGAUGAUCACUAGCUGUUUGCGAUACACAGUAAGCGGCACAGCGAAAGCGUUAAGUGAUCCACCUGGGGAGUACGCCGGCAACGGUGAAACUCAAAGGAAUUGACGGGGGCCCGCACAAGCGGAGGAACAUGUGGUUUAAUUCGAUGAUACGCGAGGAACCUUACCCGGGUUUGAACGCAUUCGGACCGAGGUGGAAACACCUUUUCUAGCAAUAGCCGUUUGCGAGGUGCUGCAUGGUUGUCGUCAGCUCGUGCCGUGAGGUGUCGGCUUAAGUGCCAUAACGAGCGCAACCCUUGCCACUAGUUACUAACAGGUAAAGCUGAGGACUCUGGUGGGACUGCCAGCGUAAGCUGCGAGGAAGGCGGGGAUGACGUCAAAUCAGCACGGCCCUUACAUCCGGGGCGACACACGUGUUACAAUGGCGUGGACAAAGGGAAGCCACCUGGCGACAGGGAGCGAAUCCCCAAACCACGUCUCAGUUCGGAUCGGAGUCUGCAACCCGACUCCGUGAAGCUGGAUUCGCUAGUAAUCGCGCAUCAGCCAUGGCGCGGUGAAUACGUUCCCGGGCCUUGUACACACCGCCCGUCAAGCCAUGGGAGCCGGGGGUACCUGAAGUCCGUAACCGCGAGGAUC